rfam:Citrus clementina cultivar Clemenules unplaced genomic scaffold scaffold_2, whole genome shotgun sequence.
AAGAAAAGAGUCUGUCAAAUUAGUCAAUGAGAUUGCCUGCUACCACACAAGGGCUUUAUAAAUGUUCAACAUUUUUUGAAAGACCAUUGAGGACAGAUGAGGCAAGUCAUCCUUGGCUACCAAACUAGCACUCUUUUCU